rnacentral:tRNA from 2 species
GCCGGGGUAGCUCAGUCGGUAGAGCAGCUGUUUUGUAAACAGCAGGUCGUCGGUUCAAGCCCGACCCCCGGCUCCA